rnacentral:rRNA from 1 species
CAGUAGCCGCGGUAAUACGAAGGGGGCUAGCGUUGUUCGGAUUUACUGGGCGUAAAGAGCGCGUAGGCGGGCUGAUAAGUCAGGGGUGAAAUCCCAAGGCUCAACCUUGGAACUGCCUUUGAUACUGUUUGUCUUGAGUUCGAGAGAGGUAAGUGGAACUGCGAGUGUAGAGGUGAAAUUCGUAGAUAUUCGCAAGAACACCAGUGGCGAAGGCGGCUUACUGGCUCGAAACUGACGCUGAGGCGCGAAAGCGUGGGGAGCAAACAGGAUUAGAUACCCGUGUAGUCCCUGUCUCUUAUAU